UACAGAGGGGGCAAGCGUUGUUCGGAAUUACUGGGCGUAAAGGGCGCGUAGGCGGCCUUCUAAGUCGAACGUGAAAUCCCCGGGCUCAACCCGGGAACUGCGUCCGAUACUGGAAGGCUUGAAUCCGGGAGAGGGAUGCGGAAUUCCAGGUGUAGCGGUGAAAUGCGUAGAGAUCGGGCAGAACACCCGUGGCGAAGGCGGCCGGCUGGGCCGAUCCUGACGCUGAGGCGCGACAGCGUGGGGAGCAAACAGG
rnacentral:rRNA from 1 species